CUACGGGAGGCAGCAGUGGGGAAUAUUGCACAAUGGGGGAAACCCUGAUGCAGCGACGCCGCGUGAGUGAAGAAGUAUUUCGGCAUGUAAAGCUCUAUCAGCAGGGAAGAAAAUGACGGUACCUGACUAAGAAGCCCCGGCUAACUACGUGCCAGCAGCCGCGGUAAUA
rnacentral:rRNA from 1 species